rnacentral:pre_miRNA from 1 species
UGGCAGUGUGGUUAGCUGGUUGUGUUUUUUCUUUCAACAACCACUAUCUUCUCUGCCCU